rnacentral:sRNA from 2 species
UGCCGCAGCCCUCCUUGGGCGUUUCCUCCCUAGACUUGGGCCGUUCGUUUUCGAGCGGCCCCUUUUCUUUUUGGGG